rnacentral:rRNA from 1 species
UGCCAGCAGCCGCGGUAAUACGAAAGGGGCUAGCGUUGUUCGGAAUUACUGGGCGUAAAGGGUGCGUAGGCGGCCCAUCAAGUUAGACGUGAAAGCCCCGGGCUCAACCCGGGAAUUGCGUUUAAUACUGGUGAGCUAGAGUACGAGAGAGGAAAGUGGAAUUCCUAGUGUAGAGGUGAAAUUCGUAGAUAUUAGGAAGAACACCAGUGGCGAAGGCGACUUUCUGGCUCGUAACUGACGCUGAGGCACGAAAGCGUGGGGAGCAAACAGGAUUAGAUA